ensembl:lncRNA
AGGCAAGAACACUGGAGUGGGUUGCCAUUUCCUUCUCCAAUGCAUGAAAGGGAAAAGCGAAAGUGAAGUCGCUCAGUCGUGUCCGACCCUCAGCGACCCCAUGGACUGCAGCCUUCCAGGCUCCUCGGUCCAUGGGAUUUUCCAGGCAAGAGUACUGGAGUGGGGUGCCACUGCCUUCUCCAAAAUUUCCCUUAGUGUCCCUGUUUUUGUCUCCUCUGUUGCCUUUUUGUUUUCUUAGAGCUGACUUCCUAAAUAGGGACUGAGGGCUGCUGGCUUUUCAGCUGUAAUCCUUGAAAUCCUCCAGCUCUAUUGAUGUGGUGGUAAGGGGUGGGGGAGUGGAAGCAUGCUAUGGUCCUGUGAUUAAGUCUCAGUCUUCUAGUGAGCUUUUGUCCUUGGGCACCUUUAUAAGUACUUCUCAGAUUUUCUUUUCCUUGGAUCCUUCCCCGGGUUGGUUAGGUUCUUAAAGAUAGUUUUUCUUGAGAGCUGGCUGUUAAGGAGAACAGAGCUCUCUGCGCUUAUCAAAGGAUGAUUAUUUUCCCUUCUCACUGCUGAAGCAAAGGGUGUUUUCUUUUUUUUCCCCCUGAUCUUCACCAUGAGAAUCUGGUGGGGAUGCUGGAAGUAAACCUCAUGAAACUAUGAGGAAUCCCCUAGGGUAAAAAAAGCAGUGAAGCUGGAAGAAAAUGCAAGGAACUGUAGGAACUACAAACAUGUUUUUUCUCUCCUGACUGGUGCAGCAGCAGCAGCAGGGCUUCUCAGAUGCUCCCACCGGACCUGUGCAAAGCUGGUGGCCAGAAGCAGAAUGGUACUCAGCAGAGUAUUGUUGUGGAUAUGCAGGAGUUUUGACAUGAACUCCCAUCUUUGAUCCACUGUCAGGGCAGUGACAUCAAGCCAGUGACCUGGGGGUCGGAGACUACAUCCUGACACGGGAAAUGUGCAAGGAGUGCAAGAGCAUCGGUGAUCUGAUUGGCUUUUUGAACAACUGCUGCCUCUACAGCCAGUGCAUCUCCUGGUACUACAAGCAGCCGGUACUUUUGAUCGAGUUGGACCCCACUAAGCCUUUCUCUCUCAUGUCCCGAGGU